GUCUGGUGCCCGCAGCCGCGGUAAUUCCAGCUCCAAUAGCGUAUAUUAAAGUUGUUGUGGUUAAAAAGCUCGUAGUUGAACCUUGGGCCUGGCUGGCCGGUCCGCCUCACCGCGUGUACUGGUCCGGCCGGGCCUUUCCCUCUGUGGAACCCCAUGCCCUUCACUGGGUGUGGCGGGGAAACAGGACUUUUACUGUGAAAAAAUUAGAGUGCUCCAGGCAGGCCUAUGCUCGAAUACAUUAGCAUGGAAUAAUAGAAUAGGACGUGUGGUUCUAUUUUGUUGGUUUCUAGGACCGCCGUAAUGAUUAAUAGGGACAGUCGGGGGCAUCAGUAUUCAAUUGUCAGAGGUGAAAUUCUUGGAUUUAUUGAAGACUAACCACUGCGAAAGCAUUUGCCAAGGAUGUUUUCAUUAAUCAGGAACGAAAGUUAGGGGAUCGAAGACGAUCAGAUACCGUCGUAGUCUUAACCAUAAACUAUGCCGACUAGGGAUCGGACGAUGUUAUUAUUUGACUCGUUCGGCGCCUUACGGGAAA
rnacentral:rRNA from 2 species